GUGUCAGCCGCCGCGGUAACACCGGCGGCCCGAGUGGUAACCGAUUUUAUUGGGUUUAAAGGGUCCGUAGCCGGCCUAUUAAGUCUCUUGGGAAAUCUGGCGGCUUAAUCGUCAGACGUUCAAGAGAUACUGAUGGGCUUGGGACCGGUAGAGGUGGGAGGUACUCCAGGGGUAGAGGUGAAAUUUUGUAAUCCUUGGGGGACCAUCGAUGGCGAAGGCAAUCCCCUGGGCCUGCACUGACGCUCAUGCACGAAAGCGUGGGGAGCAAACAGGAUUAGAUACCCUGGUAGUCCACGCCCUA
rnacentral:rRNA from 1 species